rnacentral:tRNA from 1 species
ACUCGUCGUGGCCGAGCGGCACGAUCGCCUGCGAGGCGAGCAGGCAGGCCGGAUCGACGCCGACGACGAGCGC